GAUGAACGCUAGCUACAGGCUUAACACAUGCAAGUCGAGGGGUAACAAGAGACAAGCUUGCUUUUCUUGUUGACGACCGGCGCACGGGUGAGUAACGCGUAUCCAACCUGCCUAUAACUAGGGGAUAACCUUGCGAAAGUAAGACUAAUACCCUAUGAUUUCCUUUGAUGACAUCAGAUUAGGAAUAAAGAUUUAUCGGUUAUAGAUGGGGAUGCGUCUGAUUAGCUUGUUGGCGGGGUAACGGCCCACCAAGGCAACGAUCAGUAGGGGUUAUGGGAGGAAGGUCCCCCACAUUAGAACUGAGACACGGUCCAAACUCCUACGGGAGGCAGCAGUGAGGAAUAUUGGUCAAUGGGCGGAAGCCUGACCCAGCCAAGUAGCGUGCAGGAUGACGGCCCUAUGGAUUGUAAACUGCUUUUAUACAGGAAUAAAGUUAGCCACGUGUGGUUAUUUGUAGGUACUGUAUGAAUAAGGACCGGCUAAUUCCGUGCCAGCCGCCGCGGUAA
rnacentral:rRNA from 1 species